UGCUUUCUCCCCUCUUCCUCCUUCCGUCCUCUCCCUCCAACUUCCUCCUCCAACGAGCUCCUCCCACCACACCUUCAGCCUCCUCGUCCUCUGCUGCAGGUGCUCUUCCUUGGCCAGCUCUGCUCGUCCCGGUGUCCAGGAACGGCGACCCCCUCUUCUUUCCCUCGAUCUGUUCGAAAUCACCUUUUUCCAAUGAAAAGCUACAACUGAUUUGGUCACACCUUCAACACCGACUUCAGUAUUCCUGUUUGGUGUACUUGCUCUUCUGGUACGCAGAAUUGGUUAGGCAAAAACAACUACUCCCUGCAGUAAGAAAUGCCCUGUCCGGAGAAAAAGCCCCAAUAGAAUUGGUCGCAUCUUCCACGACAACUUUCACAUUGCUGGUCAAGAUGGUUUUCAGCCCACUUUCAACCUUACAGCCCAAAGAUUGGCACAAAACAAUUCAUGUGCGUGUCUGCAGAAAAUGGGAGUAUCGUGGAAUCAACGAAGACAACCCCUUACAGCAUAUCGAUUUGGUUCUUGUCGACAGACAGGGAAACACCAUGUAUGCUGAGAUCCCAGCAAAAGAGUCAGACAAACAUGGUCCGAUUAUACAAGCUGAUAGAACUUAUGUCAUAAGCCGCUUCAGAGUUUGCAAUGCAAAAGAUGCUUUCAGAUCUGUUCCUGGACCAUAUAUGUUGGAGUUUACCUGCCAUACCAAAAUCAGUGCAACAACUGAAGAAAUAACUGAACCCAAGUACAUCUACAACCUAACUCCAUUCAGCAAACUUCCAGAGUUCAUUAACGACAAAAAAAAUUUCAUGAUAUCUUGGGCAUACUCACAGAGAUAAAUGAACCGCAAUGGAUUCCAUUCUCAAAUCAAUCCAAACCUAGUCUGCGUCGUGAUAUCAAGCUGAAAGAUGAAAUCGGUGAAGAGAUCAAGCUAGUUCUUUGGGGCUCCAAAGCAACACAAUUUGAUAUUCCAGAAGACACAACUUCAGAAGACAAACCAAUCAUAAUAUUAUUCACUGGAUGCCUUGUCAAACUUUACCGUGGUGAACUUAAUGUCAGUGGCUACUCAGCUUGCUAUUGGUACAUAAAUCCUGAUAUACCAGAAGCAGCACAUCUAUUAAACAGCACACUGGGACAACCUUUCAAGAUUAAACGAGCUGGCAUUCAAAUUACUGAGCAAAACCAACCAGAGCCUAUUGUUGUACCAGAUUUACUAACACUAAGAGAAAUGGAAGAGAUAGAUCCUUAUGAAUUUCCGAAAACUGGAUGCCGCUGCACUGUAACUAUCAUCCGUUUAGCUGAAACACAAUCUUGGUGGUACCCAGCAUGCAAUUUCUGUCGCAAAUCGUGUCAACAAGAUGGUUCUUCCUACAUAUGCUUAGAAUGCAAUACCAUUGAUAAAUAUU